rnacentral:rRNA from 1 species
AGUCGGCACGACUACCCAGAGCCGGAAAGUUGGUCAAACUUGGUCAUUUAGAGGAAGUAAAAGUCGUAACAAGGUUUGAAGUAAAACCCUUUCGUUAGGUGACGCUUACGAGAAGCCUUUGUGGCCCCGCAAGGGGUACCUGCCGCGACUGUAAAGAAUGAAAGCUGGGUAUUAAAUCGCAAGUCUCUGUUGAAGAGGCUACACUUUCGAAUUGCGGGGAUUUCCUAAAGCUCACACCUACCAAACUGGCCUGAGAAAUCUGCCAGCGGCUCGUGGUAACGACACGAGGUACGGUAAGAACGGUUGAGAUACGCAGUAAAAUGCAAUAUGGAUGAUCCGCAGCCAACCCCUAAGGUCGGAAACGGCUAUGGGACAGGUUCACAGACUAAGUGGAAGUGGGCUGCUUUGCGCGGCUUAAGAUAUAGUCGGGUUCCUUGGGAAAUCAAGGGAGAGUCAACCGUUCCGUAGGUGAACCUGCGGAAGGAUCAUUACCAAAACAUGCGAACCCGGUUCAGGCCGUGGUAAGCUUCAACCCUUUGUGAACCAAAAAACCUUUUCGCUUCGGUUAGCAGGGAGUGGUUGCGGGUAAAACCCAACCAAUUCCGUAAGCCUGCCGGCAGCACCAAAAUUUAAACCUGUCGUCAAAUAUUGUCUGAAUACCAUAUUUUCGAAUGAAAAUUAAAACUUUCAACAACGGAUCUCUUGGUUCUCGCAUCGAUGAAGAACGCAGCGAAACGCGAUAGUUAAUGUGAAUUGCAGAAUUCAGUGAAUCAUCGAGUCUUUGAACGCACAUUGCGCCUAUUGGUAUUCCAUUAGGCAUGUCUGUUUGAGCGUCAUUACAACCCCUCAGCGCAAGCUGGUUUUGAGCCGGUUGGUCUUGAAAAAGCCAACCGGUUUUAAAGUUGUAAGCUCUGCUGGCUGCUACGCCCAACCAAAAACAUAGUAAACUUUUGCUUGUUUGAAGGUGAGGCUUGCUGGACCGGCCUGAACAAAACUUUUACUUCUAAGGUUUGACCUCAGAUCAGACAAGGAUACCCGCUGAACUUAAGCAUAUCAAUAAGCGGAGGAAAAGAAACCAACAGGGAUUGCCUCAGUAACGGCGAGUGAAGCGGCAAAAGCUCAAAUUUGAAAUCUGGAGUCUUCGACUUCCGAGUUGUAAUUUGAAGAGGAUGUUUCGGUUGCGGCUUGGGCCCAAGUUCCUUGGAACAGGACGUCAUGGAGGGUGAGAAUCCCGUACGUGGCUACCGGCUUGCUUCUAUGUGAAACUCCUUCGAAGAGUCGAGUUGUUUGGGAAUGCAGCUCAAAAUGGGUGGUAAAUUUCAUCUAAAGCUAAAUAUUGGCGAGAGACCGAUAGCGCACAAGUAGAGUGAUCGAAAGAUGAAAAGCACUUUGAAAAGAGAGUUAAACAGUACGUGAAAUUGUUGAAAGGGAAGCGCUUGCAAUCAGACUCGCUUUCGGUUGAUCAACGUUCCUUUUGGUUCGUGCACUCUGCCGUUUGCGGGCCAGCAUCAGUUGAGGCGGUGGGACAAAGGUUUCGGGAAUGUGGCUCCCUCGGGAGUGUUAUAGCCCGUUUCGUAAUGCCACCAGCUUCGAUUGAGGUCCGCGGUUCGCCUAGGAUGCUGGCUUAAUGGUUGUAAGCGACCCGUCUUGAAACACGGACCAAGGAGUCUAACAUCUAUGCGAGUCUUUGGGUGUUAAACCCAUAGGCGAAAUGAAAGUGAACGGAGGUGGGAGUCCUCGGAUGCACCAUCGACCGAUCCUGAUGUUCUCGGAUGGAUUUGAGUAUGAGCAUAGCUGUUGGGACCCGAAAGAUGGUGAACUAUGCCUGAAUAGGGUGAAGCCAGAGGAAACUCUGGUGGAGGCUCGCAGCGGUUCUGACGUGCAAAUCGAUCGUCAAAUUUGGGUAUAGGGGCGAAAGACUAAUCGAACC